GAGAGAUCUCGCUUUGGAUGCAACUUCACUUCAGAGGGCAAGGGGUUUGGGGGAGACGCCCUAAUUCUACUCCAAGAGUGGAAAUCCUUAAAUAUUAGGGUGCAUUGGACUCUAUGGGAGGAGGCAUGGGUACCUCUACCAUGUCUUUAAGAGAGAGGAUGCGCAGAGGGAGAGUGGGGGGGGAGAGCCAAGCUGAUUGUGACCGUUCUACAAACUAAUUAUACACCUGAUGGGUGUACAGAGGUAAGUGGGCAAAAAUUUGGAAGGAGGAUGGAGGAUAAAGAGCAGACAGAAUGACGAGGCAAG